rnacentral:lncRNA from 1 species
AGUUUGGAACCAAAGAGGUUGACAACAUGGAGGAGUGAUCGUAUUUGUAGAGUUCUACACCAUUCUUUAUGAUCGUACUGUCUUUCUUGAGGAGAUGGUUUCCAAUGCAGGCCCUAUGCAUAGUACACAGCUAGAAGUUAUGGAGUAUUGACGGUAUUUGUAGAAAAUUUCACUUCUUAUCUUUAUAGUGUUUUAAUUAGGUUU